rnacentral:lncRNA from 1 species
GGAGGACUAACGGUAAGGCAGUUGCCGAAGUUAAAACGGGGUGGUGGGCACGGCGGUUGAUGCAAGGAAAAAAUGCGGCAAAGGGGAAGUGCGACGGCGGUUGCAUGGAGGAGUGGUGGAUGGUGGAGAGGAGAGGGGCAUGGGGAGAAGGUAAAAAAUUAAGGAGGAAAGAUAAAAGGACGGGGGAAGGAGUCGGUCGUGGUGGUUCGAAGAAGCGAUGUGAAGGUCGGCGGGAAGGGCUGUUACGAAAGGAGGAAGGAGAAGAGGGAAACCAAUGGAUGGAUGCUUGAGGCUAUGAGGGUGAGGGAAGGGCUUGGUUAGGUGAAAAAGAUUGGAGGUUAGGGAAAAGUAGAGGGGAAGGCAGGAGAAGGUGGUCGGCAAUGAGGAAGAGGGGAUAGGCGGCGUGAAGAGUGGACGGGCGAGGGCGGCUAGAAUGAUAUAGGGACGGCGGUGGCUAGUGUUUGGGAAAUAGUUAGGGAAGAAGGACACAAAGUGGAAGAAAAAAAUAGGGUUUUUGGUUUUAAAAGAGGGACAAGGUUGUGUAAAACCCGUGUUGGGCCACACGGUCG